rnacentral:lncRNA from 1 species
AAACAUGAUGUUCAGAAAAAAAUGAUUAGGGGUUGAUCUGGUUGUGGCAAAUAAAGGGGUGAUGAUUGUACCUUUAGGUGUUGAAUAGAAAGUAUAUACAAAAGCACAUGGAAAAGGAAGAUAGCCAAAAAGCAGAAAGAAAAAGUGAGGGAACAACUACAUGACAAGUCCACACCUAUCAACACUACAAAUACUUUUCCGAUUCGUCUUAUCAAGCAUACAAA